rnacentral:lncRNA from 1 species
CACAUCGUUGGUCAGAACUCUCCCAAAAGUUGAUUUGGCUAGAAGAAGAAAAAAAAAGUGAUUAACAAGGUGUUGAUAAACAGCCAAAAGAAAAUUAAUUUAAAAAUAGCCAUUCAAUCGUUUACCUUUGUUAAAAAAAAUCCGAGCACUUACCAAUUUUCUACAGUAUAAAAUACAUAUGGAUUUUUCAUAAUAUAAAAUACGUACAUUUGACUUGUUUCCGACACUACUAUAAAGCCGCAUUUAACCUCGUCCAGAUCGAUAAUUUCUCAUCUGUGCUUCCGCUCAAUCCUUUCUUUCCUCCCGCGCUUUCGUUGCUCCAAGCCAGAUCUAGGGUUUCGAUCUUGACAGCCGCCGCCGCCCGCCGCCAUGUCGUCCGUCGAGAUCCCACCGCAGGGACCGAACGCCAUGCUCGGCUCUUUCACGUUCGUGGAUCCCGUCCAGCCGGCGCAGAUGCGCGACCCCGGCGAGAAGAAGAGAGGCCGCUGCGGGGAUCUCCUUCUCGCCGACGACUCCGAGGCUGCAGGUUGGUCGUCGGCGAUCCUGGACCGCAGCCUCGCCCUGCGCCGUCGGCGAGGCCCAGCUGCUCCCCCUUCCGGCCACCGCGGCUGCCUCGUCGUGACUGAGGCGCAGAACAGUCGUGACCAGGAGAAAGGUCCGGAAGUUGUCGCAGAAGAAAUCCUUGAGCGCCAAGGGAGCGAAAAGAAGCCUACUGUCGAGGAGCUGGUCUACUGGACAGUCAUCUAGCCGUAUCAAUCAAAUCCCCCUGGUGUUCCGGUCCUGCUGGCCCAAAUAGCUUGAAGAAGGUUCGAUUUCCCCCCUCUCUUUGUGUUUAUUGCAGAGUUUAUUUCAGGCCACGUGAGUAACUUGCUUUCUUUUGUUUUUCUGUCAAUGUCGGAGCACGUACAACCGAAUUAAAUUUACUGAUGGCCUUCACGUGCUGAGAGUUGAGGAGGCAACCGGAAGUAAUCGGAUUACAAGUCAAGAACACCUAGCAGGGUGUGCUGGAAGGCGAAGAAAGGGAAAAUCUGGAGGUGCUGAUUGGCGGGGAUGGCGAGUAGCCGAGUAGUUCUUCUACCUAGUUGUCAGCUAGUCGAAUCUUCUAGUAGAAUCUGGUUGUCUUUUGAUGUCUUUAUGCUAAUUGAUGAGCCCUGUUACAGAGUCCUGUUCAUGUGUUCAAGUCGAUGAGUUCGGAUGUAAUCGGCUUGUUUGAUAAAUAAAUUGAUCCACUUAAGCUGAGUUGCGAUGUGCCCUUACAUCGGGCCACUGUUUUGUGACCUCUGCAGCACUGUCAUUGCCUCCACCGUCUCUGUCAUCUUCACUUUGGCCUAUAUGAUUAUCUCAUUUUUUUAGAUAAACCCAUUGCCUUAUUUCAUUUAUAAUAAUGUCAAUUGGUAGGUCAUGGUUAUAUAAUGUUUAUUUUUUGUAGUUGCAGAUUUAUAAUUUUCUAAGCAUUGGUUGGUUGAGACCUGCAAUUUUCUGAUCGCUGCGAUUAAGAUUUCUAUAGUGACAGGCUUGGUGGGAUUUAUGGACUGGGUAAUGCUCAUUUAAUAUUUGUGAUCAAUCUUCAACUGAUUGGUAUGUGAGGUGCCAUUAAGGUCGAUCCACCCUAUUGUGAACUGUGAUUAUUUGAUGUUUAUUUAGUUUGUAUGAUUUAAUUGAAACUUUUCCAAGCACUAGGUUGUAUGUAGCCAUGUGGUUUACAUCAUGCUGUGUGUUGACAAGGAUACUUCUCUAUUUUCUCAUGUGGAAGUGAUCUGCAGGGUGUCCUAUUAGUUCAUGGUAAGCCAAUGCAAAUUGUUUUAGUAUAUUCAUCUUUGACUAAUCAAAUGUUUCUUUUUUCUUUUGGAGUUGUUGUAGUUAAAAGUUAUUGUUGUAUUUUGAAGUUUAUAUGCACUGUCAAAUUUAUGAACUAAUAAUUGCAGUACAUAUAGGUGUAUGCAAAAGUUCUAAAUUCAGCUUGAAAAAACAGUCAAAUGGCUUUUCCAUACCUUUUUUUAAUGUAUGAUACCUAAUUUUCACUUACAAAAUUGGAAUAAACCUCCCAAGAUUCUUACAGAUGUUUCAGAAUUCAGAAUAUCCUUCAUAAAUUGUCCAACAUUUUCCUUCUUGAACAUGUCUUUAGCCACGAUUUGUGUUGUUAUAUUCAUAUAACUUCAGCCGUUUGCCAUAUUACCUUCUUGCCAUAUUGAGCAGUGGUUGCAUAGUAUAAUAUCUUCCUACUAUGUAGAUUUAAUGAUUUAUAAACUACUACAUGCAACUUCCAAGUUCUAUUUUUCUGAAUUUUCUUAACCAAAGUAUAAAGUGGGUCGCAGGUGGUGCAAUAACUUACAUAGUUACAUUGCACAGCCGUUUGCUGCUUGCACCAUAGGGUUAGAUUAUUGCAAGAGCAUUACUGUCUCUGUGAGUAAAUUUGUCUGAAUUAUUCCCUAGUUCUUUCAUUUUGUAUUACUUUUAUAUCGAAUUGCUCUGGUGAACCUGGUGGGCAACAUGGAGAGCUUAAUGACUCAAAUUUGAUGAUAUUACUUCAAGGUAUGUGGCCCUUCUGCCAUAUUUGGCAUACCAUAUAGUUUAGCUGGUUUUGCCAAAUUUGAAUUAUUAGCAAUACCUUCAGAAAUAAAAAAGAAAAAAAUGAUUAAGAUCUUCUAAUCUUUCCUAUAGAUGCUGCAUUAUAUGAGGACCAACAUUUGAGGCGAUAUUCAUCUUCAAACUAUAUAUAAUCUCUUGAUCAUAUAACACUGUUUUAAGGACAUUUCAGUUUUACGGUACUGAACUUUUCAAGGCGCUCCUUUCGUGCGGGUCCAAUCUACUAUGUUAAUUCACAUAUUGAAUUAUAUGUGGAAAAACAUGAAUUUGAAAUAUUAGCUCAUAUUUGGAGGUAUAUAAUGGUCUUUCUUUGUUUACCCAAAUGGAAGAAACAUAAUUAUAUUCGUAGAGCUAUAAGUAGUUUCUGUUAAGACACAUAUUUAGUUUAUUAUCCAUCUAAGUAAUGUUUUACCCCAAGUUGUUGAUUUUUGUUCUUCAUAUUUUUACUGAGCUAUCAGAUUCAAAUAUUAAAUUCGCAUGUAAGAUCGAUAUUUUAAUACACACAUAACUUAUUUUCUGAACAGGAAUUUUCUAAAACAUGGAAAUACCAACAUUGAGAGAUAUUCUGAAUAAAAUAAGUUGAAACAUCAAAAUUUUCAAACCUUUCAAUUGUGUUUUUUUUUUAAACUUGAAAAUUUUCAAACCAUUCAAUUAGAAGUAAGACCAUGAAACUUUCUGAACAGGAAUUUUCUAAAAGAUGGAAAUAUCAAAAAUUGAGAGAUAUUCUCAAUAAAAUAAACUGAAACUUGAAAAAAAAA